rnacentral:lncRNA from 1 species
GUCAUCUGCCGAAGAGGGAAAACACAUCACAGUGUGGAGAAGGCAAUGACAGACAGCCGGUCUGAUGGACCCAGGUUCUGUAUGACAAAGCCCAUAGCACGCUUCAAACCACUUACAUCAAGAACUGUAACUGAUCAACUGAAGCACGUGAGUUUUGAUCUGAAGGAGGUAGUUCAGUAUUGUUUCCACCACCAUUUUGUUGUCUCCCCGAAGGAGGAGCUUUGAGAUGGAUUAAUACAGCAAAAUUAUCAUGUGAGGCUGACUUUGGAACAGCUGAAACUUCAGGAUAUGAUUUGAUCUCCAAUGUGCUUACUAUAUCGUGAUCAUCCUCAUUUUUAUUGAAUGGAAGGUGUUUGGUACGACUGCAGAAGGCUUGUGCUGUCUGUGGAAUCGCCUCGAGCCGUUGCCCUUUGCCAUGAAUGUGAGCUCAAUCCUGACAGAACAUAAGCCCUUCCAGAUUGCUCAUAAACAUGUGGGCUCGCCAUCCUCUACUGCAUCUCCUUUAAUUCAGCAGAAAGAGCAAUGCAUAACCGAUCCCCGGCUUGGGAAGAAACAGUUUCAGACAAUGCCUUGUGACAACUCUCCAGGACAGAAACCGCAGCAGAUAAAUUACCGCAUUCAGCUGCAACUCUAGCCUCAGCCAAUGCCUCUGCUGCACAAAGCCUGUUUCGCUGUCUGUCUACCUCUAUUGACACAAAUAGUUCUGUUCUACCUAUGUUGGGUCUCUGAAUCUUUACUUCACUAGUUUCUUCCAAAUCUACCAUUUCUCUUGUUAUAGGGUCUCUGUAAAGACCUCUCACAAUCAACAACGUCAUCUCAUCACUUGAACUAUCAACUGGAACAUUGACUGUCACCAAAAAAUCUCUUUCUUCUUCAGCAUAAAGAUCUCCUGCAUUAGUAGAAGUCAUUCUAGCAUUUGGCCAUCAAGCUUGUGUGGUAACUUCCUGCUUUUACUGAACCAAGUUGCAGACUAGGGUGAACACACUCAACUUAGACCUGUAAUUCUUGCACCACCACACUCUAGAGCCCCCCGAUACAUUGUGCAAAUGCAUCCUGAAUCACAUCCUCAGCUUCAAUGAAAGAAAAUGUACCACCAGAUAUAUCAGAGAUUGAAUGCAUUGAAGUAGCAUCCUGGUUGGACCCAAAGCCAAAUGCAUCCACAGGUAUUGACAAGCCUGUACCAUUAUUGCGAUGGAUGGAGUUCGGGACAAGUAACUGGUAAUUUGUUUCAACAUUUGGCCUGCUACUGGCUGUGUAUGUAUCCUGCCCAUCAGAUAGUAAUAUGAUGCUGCUAACUGGGUUCUUCCAUCUGCGGUCAACAAACACCUUAGCGCCUUUCCUCAAUCCUUCAGCAAUGUUUGUACCACCAUUGGCAACCAAGGAAUCGACAGCUUGUAACGCCUGCUGUCGUCCAGUAUCAGUCAUCUGCCGAAGAGGGAAAACACAUCACAGUGUGGAGAAGGCAAUGACAGACAGCCGGUCUGAUGGACCCAGGUUCUGUAUGACAAAGCCCAUAGCACGCUUCAAACCACUUACAUCAAGAACUGUAACUGAUCAACUGAAGCACGUGAGUUUUGAUCUGAAGGAGGUAGUUCAGUAUUGUUUCCACCACCAUUUUGUUGUCUCCCCGAAGGAGGAGCUUUGAGAUGGAUUAAUACAGCAAAAUUAUCAUGUGAGGCUGACUUUGGAACAGCUGAAACUUCAGGAUAUGAUUUGAUCUCCAAUGUG